GUUAAUGCAGACCAGAAAAACCCGCACUUCUGAGAUGAAUUUUGAUAAUUCUGGCGUUUAAAAACCCGGCGCCCGGGAGGCGCCGGAGCAGCGCCGGCCACAGGAGCGGGGUCGGGGCGCCCACGGCGGGGCCGCCUCGGGUUCGGCCCGGCGCGCCCGCCCCUCACAGAGCUCACGGUCCGGUCCCGGGUUAAAGCCCGCGGUCACACGGCCCCGGGCUGUCUUUCACACACCGCCUGACGGUAACGCGGCAGCGCGGGCGCUCCGGGGCCGCGGGGGCCGUGAGGGGGGAACCCCCGCGCCAUUUCACGGCGCUCCGCCGCCUCACGAGCCGCCGGGUGCCCCCGGCCCCGCGGGGCUCCCCCGGCCCGGCCCGGCCCCCGCCCCCGGCGGCGUGAGGGGCGCCGGGCCCGGCGCGGCGCGAGGCGGGAGCGCUAAGAUGGCUGCGGCGGCGGCGGCGCGGGCGGCCCGUACCUGUUUUCUCCUUGAUCUCGCAGAGGACGCUGAACAGGGCGGGUUUCAUCCUGUGGCAGUUCAGGGCGUGUUUCCUGCAAGAGAGCACAGGACAAGCGCAAUAUUUGGUCAGAUUUAUAAUUCAUCUGCUGCCACUUUGAGACAAGAAAAGAAAGAAAGAGGCAAAGUUGUACUUUGAGGGACGGCCGGACAGACAGACGGAUGGACGGCGGCGCAAAGGCCGGAAUCCACCGGACAGCGUCCAGCGGCCGCGGGCAGGGACCAGCCACAGCCUCCCGCGCACCACGGCAGAACCAUCGCAUACUUCUACAUUUAUCAUAUCUAUUGUUUUUUUGUUAAGGAAAGAAAUCAUUAAAUAGCAACUUGGCUCUGC